rnacentral:lncRNA from 1 species
AUAAUCUUCAACCGCAGAAGCACGAUUUUUGGUGUGUUGCGAAGUGACAGGGAUGGGAGGAGCCCCUUUUCCCGGCCUGGCAUGUGCGAAAUAUCAACAAGAGACGGCAUCUUGAAUCAACAAGUGAAGUGUGUGGUUUAUGCUUCGAGAUCCCUAGCUGGACGACUGAGUUGCCAUGGGGGGGACAUUGAGGGACAGCCAAGUUCGACAGAGUUGGAGCGGGGGGCGACUUGGCUAUUGACUGGACUGAUGCCGGGCUGUUGCGUGAGCGGGGGGACCCUGGAAGGGGUGGAGUUGCUGAGGCUAUUAUGAUUUGUGCGAGUGGAUCUUUGGAGGUUGGGCUGGUCAAUAGAAUCGACUCGGUGUCCAUGGGCAAUGCGUGGAGGUCGUGUUCUGAAUCAGGGAAUUGUGAACAUUGGUGGGAACUGUAAAUUUAUUAAUUCUCUAUGUUUGUAAUGAUGAUGGGUGUGUG